GUGCCAGCAGCCGCGGUAAUACGAGGGCCCCUAGCGUUAUCCGGAUUUAUUGGGCGUAAAGGGUCCGUAGGCGGCCGGUUGCAUCUUCUGUUAAAUCUUUGGGCUCAACCCGGAGACCGCAGAAGAGAUGGGCUGGCUGGAGGCCGGGAGAGGCAAGCGGAAUUGCUGGUGUAGGGGUUAAAUCCGUUAAUAUCAGCAGGAACACCAAAUGUGAAGACAGCUUGCUAGAACGCGCCUGACGCUCAGGGAC
rnacentral:rRNA from 1 species